rnacentral:tRNA from 1 species
UGUGGGAUAGUAUAGAGUAGUGCAGGAGGAUUUUGGUUUCUCAAGGUGGGGGUGCGGAGUCCCCCUCUCACAG